CCUACGGGAGGCAGCAGUGGGGAAUAUUGGGCAAUGGGCGCAAGCCUGACCCAGCAACGCCGCGUGAAGGAAGAAGGCUUUCGGGUUGUAAACUUCUUUUGAGAGGGAAGAGCAUAAGACGGUACCUCUUGAAUAAGCCACGUCUAACUACGUGCCAGCAGCCGCUGUAAUACGUAGGUGGCAAGCGUUGUCCGGAUUUACUGGGUGUAAAGGGCGUGUAGCCGGGCUGACAAGUCAGAUGUGAAAUUCCGGGGCUCAACCCCAGACCUGCAUUGGAAACUGUUGGUCUUGAGUAUCGGAGAGGCAGGCGGAAUUCCUAGUGUAGCGGUAAAAUGCGUAGAUAUUAGGAGGAACACCAGUGGCGAAGGCGGCCUGCUAGACGACAACUGACGGUGAGGCGCGAAAGCGUGGGGAGCAAACAGGAUUAGAUACCCUUGUAGUC
rnacentral:rRNA from 1 species